rnacentral:lncRNA from 1 species
CCGCUUGCAAUAGAAGUUCGGAGUAAAGUCGCUCGUGGCAGGAGGAAGUCUAGAAGAGAUUUGGAGAAUAGUCGAUCACUGUAGAAAAUCGACUGAUAGUGAAGCUCAAAAAUUAUUUGGAGCAGCCUGGUAUAUGAAUGGAGGAGCUCAUCAUCAGAGAAGUUCGGAUGGUAUUAUGGAAGCUUGGACGGUCGAGAGAGUUCAGAAAGACGCCACACA